AAAAAAUCAAACCCUGGAUUUCCAUGAUAACGUUUGAUUGUCCGUCUAAUAUGAAAUUUUUUUAUAAUUAAUAUUUUUAUUGUUGUUAGAUGAUAAAACAUGAUUAAUAUUUUAUGCGUGGCUUAUCUUUUUAAUUUUUUUUAAUAUUUUUUUAAAUAAGAUGGACGGUCAAACGUUAGACACGGAAACCAAGAUUUGCCUUUUUU
rfam:Oryza glumipatula chromosome 2, whole genome shotgun sequence.